rnacentral:rRNA from 1 species
UUAAUUCGAUGCAACGCGAAGAACCUUACCUACUCUUGACAUCCAGAGAACUUAGCAGAGAUGCUUUGGUGCCUUCGGGAACUCUGAGACAGGUGCUGCAUGGCUGUCGUCAGCUCGUGUUGUGAAAUGUUGGGUUAAGUCCCGCAACGAGCGCAACCCUUAUCCUUUGUUGCCAGCGGUUCGGCCGGGAACUCAAAGGAGACUGCCAGUGAUAAACUGGAGGAAGGUGGGGAUGACGUCAAGUCAUCAUGGCCCUUACGAGUAGGGCUACACACGUGCUACAAUGGCAUAUACAAAGAGAAGCGACCUCGCGAGAGCAAGCGGACCUCAUAAAGUAUGUCGUAGUCCGGAUUGGAGUCUGCAACUCGACUCCAUGAAGUCGGAAUCGCUAGUAAUCGUAGAUCAGAAUGCUACGGUGAAUACGUUCCCGGGCCUUGUACACACCGCCCGUCACACCAUGGGAGUGGGUUGCAAAAGAAGUAGGUAGCUUAACCUUCGGGAGGGCGCUUACCACUUUGUGAUUCAUGACUGGGGUGAAGUCGUAACAAGGUAACCGUAGGGGAACCUGCGGUUGGAUCACCUCCUUACCUAAAGA